CAUGAAGUUUCCUCCAAAAGGAAUGAUGACUAAUGCUUUGAGGAAACAGCAGACGUCAGACAGCAAGCCCAGAAAAACCUGCCAGCACCAAGAGGGUGUCCUCAACAGGCGCCUGGGGGACAUAUUAUUCUAACUAAAGAGACCAGAGCUUCCCCAGGAAGGGAAGAGGAGAGAAAUGAAGAACGUCUGUGUUCAUGUUUGCCAAAAACAAAAGUCUGAGAAAUCUCUGAGAGACUCUACAUGGGAGCAUCAAGCACAAAUGAUGAUCUCCUAGGACAGUGGCAGCUUCUGAGAAUGCACAGGAAAGUGACCAGGGAAAGAAUGAUUCCAUCUCCAGGAAUCCCUGGUGAUCUUCAGAGCCCAGACAGGACCCUGCUGGGCCAUGGUAACUGAGAAACUGAGAAGCAGAUACAGUGGUCCCUAUGUUGGCAACCUCAGCUGAAGAGGAACAACUCUCUCUAUAAUCAAGACUUAAUCUUGGCCUGGUGUGCCUCAUUUUUAUAGGACUUCUGAAACCAGAAAUCACCAGCGUGGGGAGAGAACAUUAAAGGCAGAGGUGUCUCUUAUAAGCACAACGUGUGACCAGAACUUGGAUUACUGUCAGCUUCUAGUGUCUCCAUCAUUCAUAAUUGCACUGUGUUGGUCCACCCACUUUACUCCUAAAGAAGAGGUAAGAAACAGAAGAGGAGAUCACAGUGGCUCUUCAACUAUUAAUAUACCACAGACUUCAAUAACAAAUG
rnacentral:lncRNA from 1 species